ensembl:snRNA U5 U5 spliceosomal RNA
UGACUCUGGUUUCUCUUCAUAACGCACAAGUCUUUCGCCUUUUACUAAAGACUUCCGUGGAGAGGAACGCCAACGAGUUUAAGCUAUUUUUGGUAGUUUGGCCGUAAGGCUGAGCC